AUUGAACGCUGGCGGCAUGCCCUACACAUGCAAGUCGAACGGCAGCACGGGGGCAACCCUGGUGGCGAGUGGCGAACGGGUGAGUAACAUAUCGGAACAUACCCUAGAGUGGGGGAUAACGUAGCGAAAGUUACGCUAAUACCGCAUACGAUCUAAGGAUGAAAGUGGGGGAUCUUCGGACCUCAUGCUCAUGGAGUGGCCGAUAUCUGAUUAGCUAGUUGGUGAGGUAAAGGCUCACCAAGGCGACGAUCAGUAGCUGGUUUGAGAGAACGACCAGCCACACUGGAACUGAGACACGGUCCAGACUCCUACGGAGGCAGCAGUGGGGAAUUUUGGACAAUGGGGGCAACCCUGAUCCAGCAAUGCCGCGUGAGUGAAGAAGGCCUUCGGGUUGUAAAGCGUCUUUUGUUCUAGGGAAGAGACGGUGA
rnacentral:rRNA from 1 species